CAACCAUGCGCUGAGUCCCUUUAGCCAACAAUGAUGCUAAGUUUAGCUAGUAAACUAGUUUGCUAGCUCUUGAAACGAGUCUCAUUUUGAUGGUAUUGUGGCGAGCUCAGACAAGGAGGAGACAGAGGUUUCAUUCGGUCUUGCUUCCCGCCGUGUUAGCCAGGAAGCACAGCCGUUUAUUUUGAUUUAACGGGAGAACACUGCCGCUAGCAAACUGCUCAGCAGCACUAGCACAACAACAACAACAAAACAAAAAGGCGCUCUCUCACCCGGAAAAACACACAGUCGCCGAGAGAGCGCGUCACCUGUCACCAUGGCAACAUGACAACAAAACAUAACUGUCAGAACAAACCCCGAACAGCCCUGGCCCGCUACAGUAUAAAUGUAAUAGGAUUUACAUUAUUGAUAUUUUACUAUAUAUGCACCAUUUUUUGGAAAAAGAAAUGCUCAGUGUCACAGUUUGUGGAGACAGACCGUGCGGAGAUGUGUGUGGUGGACACAGGUGCGAACACAAGUGAGGAUACGGGACUGAACUUAAACAAAAGCGAGCCUCUUUAUUGUGGCUGAUGAUCAUGAAUGAAACAAACGAGAACGAGGGCAGCACAAGAGCAAUAACUAAACAGAAACCUAAACUGGGAACAAACUAUGAAAGCUAACUGUGGCAAUGGCUGUGACUCUGACUAUGGCGAGAAAAACAGACGACCUGACGACGAACAAAGGAAGACUAAGGACUCAGAUACACACGAGUGAAAACAGAGGGAACAGAGAAAAAUUAAUCUCGGACUCCGCAGCAGCGAGGAAGUGCACCAUCCCAAUUUUACACCUCCAUACUUUUAUAGGUUCGUAAGUGUUGCUGGAAGCACCAAGCAUCAGUGAGCACCAAUAGAAACAUCAAUCAGGCAGAGGCAGCAGAGGAGAAGAUAAAUAAUAAAGUUUUCAUGAGACUUCCACAUUCUGGGAGACAGAGAGUGCUUGUCAGUGCGCUCGGAGGUGGUGGUAUCUCUUUUGCAUUUUAAGGAAUCGCUGUGCAGUUUGUGCUGAGGUGAAGGCCAUUAAUAAUAACGGCUGGAAUCAGCUGCCAUGCUUCCUGCUUUAGAAUACAAAGUGGACCUUUUCAGCAUUUCACCGUGUUGAUCAAAGUAAACAUUUGAAAUUUUAAACAAUGAAAACAUCCUUUAUUUUCAGAGCUUCACUUCCUCCUUUCUUCACCAUCAUAUUUUCCUAAUUUAUCUUAUUCUCAGCUUUAAUGAGUUUUGAUAGACUGCUUUUGUCUGGCUAGCCCACAUUAUUUGGCUCCAUCUACAUAGCCUUUGUUAUGCUAAAUAAACAGCCCCAGGACUUCUUUGUUAGUCUAAUGUCACUGAAUAAAAGUGCUG